UAUUGCACAAUGGGCGCAAGCCUGAUGCAGCCAUGCCGCGUGUGUGAAGAAGGCCUUCGGGUUGCAAGGCACCUUCAGCGGGGGGGAAGGCGACAAGGUUGAUAACCUUGUCGAUUGACGUUACCCGCCGAAGAAGCACCGGCUAACUCCGUGCCAGCCGCCGCGGUAAUACGGAGGGUGCAUGCGGUAAUCGGAAUUACUGGGCGUAAAGGGCACGCAGGCGGUCUGUCAAGUCGGAUGUGAAAUCCCCAGGCUCAACCUGGGAACUGCAUUCGAAACUGGCAGGCUAGAGUCUUGUAGAGGGGGGUAGAAUUCCAGGUGUAGCGGUGAAAUGCGUAGAGAUCUGGAGGAAUACCGGUGGCGAAGGCGGCCCCCUGGACAAAGACUGACGCUCAGGUGCGAAAGCGUGGGGAGCAAACAGG
rnacentral:rRNA from 1 species